GCGGGGCCGUAGCGCAGAGGCAGACGCGCCCGGUCUCCAAAACCGGGAGCACGCUGGUUCGAAUCCAGCCGCCCCGCCCC
rnacentral:tRNA from 1 species